rnacentral:tRNA from 1 species
GUCAGAGUGGCGAAACUGGUAUACGCGUCAGAUUUAGGUUCUGGUGCCGAAAGGCGUAGGGGUUCGAGUCCCCUCUCUGACA